GACGAACGCUGGCGGCGUGCUUAACACAUGCAAGUCGAACGGUGAAGCGCCUUCCUUUUUGGUGGGUGUGGAUGAGUGGCGAACGGGUGAGUAACACGUGAGUAACCUGCUCCCUUCUUCUGGAUAACCGCAUGACAGUGUGGCUAAUACGGGAUAUUCUGGGUCUGUUGCAUGAUGGGUCUGGGAAGGAUUUUGUUUCGGUGGGGGAUGGGCGCGCGGCUUAUCAGCUUGUUGGUGUGGUGAUGGCUUACCAAGGCGGUGAGGAGUAGCCGGCCUGAGAGGGUGGGCCGCCACACAAGGACGGAACCGUGGCCCAGACUCCGAGGGGAGGCAGCAGGGGGGAAUACGGCGCAGGGGGAAGAAGGCUGAUGCAGCGACGCCGCGGGAGGGAUGGUGGCCGGCUGGUAGUGAACCUCUUUCGCCAGUGAAGCAGGCCUGCCGCGUCUGUGGGUGGGUUGACGGUAGCUGGACAAGAAGCGCCGGCUAACUACGUG
rnacentral:rRNA from 1 species